UUAUUUUUUAAUAAUUAAUUUUUAUAUAAUUUUUAUAUAAUUAAUAUUUUAGUUAUUUAUAGGAAUAAAUAUUGUAAUAUAAUAAUAUUUUAAUAAUGAUAAAAUAAGUAUUUUAUAUAUAUAAAAUAUAGUAACUCGGCAAAUAUUAUUUUCGCCUGUUUAACAAAAACAUGGUCUUUUGUUUAUAUAAAAGAUCUAACCUGCCCUAUGAUUUAUUUAAAUGGCUGCAGUAUUUUGACUGUACAAAGGUAGCAUAAUCAUUUGUCUUUUAAUUGAAGGCUUGUAUGAAUGGUUGGAUGAAAAAUAUACUUUCUUUAUUUUAUAUAAAAAAUUUAAUUUUCUAGUCAAAAAGCUAGGAUUUUUUUAUAGGACGAGAAGACCCUAUAGAACUUUAUUUUCUUUUUUUAUAAACUUUAUAGAUAAAUAUAAGUUUAUAUAUUUUUGUUAAUUUUGUUGGGGUGAUUGAAAAAAUUUUUUAACUUUUUCUAUUUUUUACAUUUAUAUAUGUUUUUUUGAUCCUUUAUUAUGGAAUAAAAGAUUAAGUUACCUUAGGGAUAACAGCGUUAUUUUUUUGGAGAGUUCUUAUCGAUAAAAAAGUUUGCGACCUCGAUGUUGG
rnacentral:rRNA from 1 species